rnacentral:lncRNA from 1 species
CACAACAGGAAAUUGAAAUCUAUCCAUUAAAUGUGGAAAUCCAUAAUCAGAAAAGUCUCAUUCACUUGGAUCUUUCACAUUUCCUGCCAAAAAGAAAUUAAAUAAAAGGCAUAUCUCAGCAAAAAGACCGCUAAGAUACUGUAUUGUUUUUCCACGAUUAACCACAUGACCAAGAUACUAAAAGGGUCUUGAAAUGCCCCCCAGGGCACUUCUCCACUGGCAAAGGACGGACGCUGUCAAACCUGGCAGAGCAGAGGUCGUGAGUUCGAAACAUGGGGCUCUUGGAAGGCAAGAAUUUAUUCUUGGAAGGCAAGGGAACAUUUGGAAGGCAAGGAUUUAUUCUUGGAAGGCAAGUGGGAACUUGGAAGGCAAGGUGCAACUUGGAUUGGCUUGCUUGGCACUUUGUCAGACCAGGUGGGGAGCGCUCGGACCCUGGCCAGUUGGAGGCACAUCCUGCGAUUAACCGGACUGUGUGAAGAGGGGCCGGAUCACAGACCCAAUGAUUAGUCUAGAAUAGGACACCUUGUAAAAAAAAAUAAAUAAAUAAAAAAUAAAAAUAAAUAAAAGGGUCUUGAAAUUAAGAAUUUAUGAUAAUGGAUCAAAACAAAUCCAAUAAACAUCCAUUUCAAGAACAAAAAUCUAAGGGGGGACGGGGGGUACUAAACUCCAGAUGAAUUUUUAUUGUAUAUUGUCUUGAAAUUAUCAUCCACUAAGCACAAAAAAAUGAUCUCAAAAUGAACUGUCCCAACCUGUUCAUCCAUAUUGAGUCCAAAUUGCUAUGACCCAUAUGUGCAAAAGCUUCCUCAUGAUGAGGUGGUGGUAGGGGAGGUGGUCUGCCAUUGUGGUUUGCAUCGUCAGCGCCGAAAUUUGGGUUUGAACUGUCCAGUUUUGCUCUAGAAGAAAUUUGCUAUGGAUUUGGAUUUUUAUCUUUGUUUGAUGUUAUAAAUACAUCAUUAGGAGUGGAAUUAGGUGCUUGGUCAACCUGGAUGAUGGGCAUUGUCUGGGUGUCGUCGGAAGUGGAAAUUUCGACCAUUUUUAAGUGCGUUGGUAGGCUGUUUUUGGGCAUUUUUACUCGAUUUUUACUGGAGUUAAGGCCAGUGAUUGGGUGGAUAGUGAAGAGGGAAGUGUGAGCUUCAAGUUGGUAUGAAGAUCCGGCGCCAUGGUGGCCAGAGAUUGGAGUUAUUGGGAUCCCUGAUUGGUGACUCAAAAAUCCCAAAAGAUAGAAGAGUUAGGAAAUGA